GAUACUAAAGUUAUCCACAAUGUUUUGAAGCCCUAAGGGUAGAAAGGGACUCUAAAGGCCAGGCCAAAUACUUCUAAAAAUGAAAGUAACCACUUGCAAAUCAGUAAGCCUUGCUUUUGAAAGAAUGAUACACUGUGUUUCCUUGGGGGCAGAUAAGGAAGAGUCAUAACCUAAGUGUUGUCAGUUCAAUAUUCCAUAAACACUAAUGAGAACCAAGGUCUGUAAAGAGAGAACGGAUUAUUUGAAAUUUAAUAGAUGAACAAAGGAAGGAUCAUUGUCUAUAGACCAUGAGGUCUUGGAAGACAGAAACCACUUGUUUGAUACUUUGUAGCUCUGUCAGCACAUGGAAAGAAACUGGUUUUCCUGUAAAACUAAUACAUGUGAUUAUUAAAGGUAAAAACAUAACAAAUCAAAUAAAAAAAAAAA
rnacentral:lncRNA from 1 species